rnacentral:lncRNA from 1 species
CGUUCACCCAUAGGUUACUUAAAACGUGGUCACGCGACGCUUACAGUCAGUGCACUAACAGAGAAGCGUACUCACUGUUUACGCCGAUUUCACCUCGUUAUUGUUAACAGAGAGCACUUGUCUUCGUCUGUAAAUAGAGCUCAUUGACAGAUUUACCGCUGUGUCUCAAACGGGAUAGUUUGCUUUGUGAGCUGUUAGGUCACAGGAUUUGUAUUUCCUCCUAAUGCGCUGGUGAACCUCGACACAAUGAAGUCAGAUAUACCAUACGAAAAGAUGGUUGAUGUGGAGCUAAGCAGAGGAGAAACACAUCUUGGCUCACAAAAGGUAUUAAAGGGGUCAUAUGAUGCAAUUUCAAUUUUUCCUUUCUCUUUGGAGUGUUACAAGCUCUUGGUGCAUAAAGAAGAUCUGUAAAGUUGCAAAGACUAAAGUCUCAAAUCCAAAGAGAUAUUCUUUAUAAAAGUUAAGAGUCAACCACGCCUACCUAAAACGGCUCGUUCUAACACGCCCCCACAUGUCUACAUCACUAUGUGGGAAGAUUUGCAUAACGCCGC